rnacentral:lncRNA from 1 species
UGAUUUCCGACGCCCGUUCUUGGUCCAAGUCGACUGGUGCCGCACUGCCGUCGCCGCGUGCCUGGCCCAGCAGGACAACAAAGGAUAUGAAUACGCCGUUCAGUUUGCUAGUAAGGCUAUGACUGGCUCACAGCUGAAUUACAGCGCGGCAGAUGGAGAGGCCUACGCUGCCUUAUGGGCAAUUAAACACUUUCACCCCUACUUGUACGGCACUUAUUUUGUAUUCAUCACGGAUUCGAUGGCGGUUCGGUCUUUGCGGACUGCACGUGCUCGAGAUCUUCUGGGAAAGCUGGCUCGAUAUGCGCUCAAGCUUCAAGCCUACGACUUUGAAGUGAUGCAUAAGGCCGGACGCAAGAAUUCAAACGUGGAUGGUUUGAGCCGCUUGGGACAUCUGAUGGAGCCCCACCGUAAUUUGCCUACGGAGAUCGACCCCAUUCCGGACCCACUUGAGGAUGCCGCCAUCUUGGCAUGCUCAAUUGCAGCCGUCACCUCCGAGGUUCAGAUCCUCAUAACUGAACAGGAAGAGGAGUGUAGCCGCGGCAUUAUACCGGAUGAGCCGUCCAUGGUGGCUGUACACCAGCCUCCGGCUCCAUCGUUGCCUACACCAGAGCACAACCCCUUGCGUGAAGCAACCAGACCCCUGGUCCCGCGUGGCAAGCGACGCUUGGAUAGGUCAGCUCGUCUGACAUCUGGAACACCAGAUAAGAUACCUGCAGUACAACACGCACGGCAACACCGUCGCCGUCACGCUGUCAAUCCACGUCUAGCAGAUUACGCGGAGCCACCUGCUUCCGAAAGCACCAAUACUGAUGAUGACCCCGGAAUGAUCUGUUCGGUCUGUCUACGAGGACGGCCGACAUCCACUCUUCUGCUCUGCGAUGAGCCUUUCUGCUGUCUGGGCUGGCACACCACGUGUCUAGAUCCACCAUUGUCUGUGGUACCGGCUGGGCCAUGGUUUUGCCCACCUCAUAAUAGCAAACCAGCUCAACAUUCUGCAAAGCGUCGUCUGUCUACCGGCCCUGGCGAUACGCCAGCCAAGCGGGUGCGAUUUUCCCGAUCCCUGCCCACCCUGGACAAACCCUGUCCUGCUGAUCAGCGAUUGGCUGGAGGUCCAGCCAUCAUUCACCCCCGGGCCACCCCAGGUCGCCCUAUGGCCGACCGUAUUCCUACUCAGGGUUUGACCCCGUCACCUUCUCCUUCCUUGUCUUCCUCAAGCAAGGAAAGCGAAUCAGGUCCGGAUUCCAAUGUUUUUACCCCAGAUAGUGGUAACAGCUCCGGCGAGACGCCGAAGCCUGGACCUCUCACCCCUACAGAAAUUUGGCAGGAUAAAGCAUUGAUUCGAUACUUAGAAUUUGGCAAGCUUCCUGUCAACGUUUCGGCAUCCGGGGAAGACAAUCUGAGGGAGAUGACAAGAUUACGUAAAAAGGCUGCUUGAUAUGAACUUUCGAAUGGCCAGCUGUGGAAGCUGAGCUCGGAUAAGCAACCACGGGUGCGAGUUCUCAAACCUGAGGAACGUCUGGCAGCGCUUCAAGAGGCCCACGACAUGGCUCAUUGGGGAGUCGGCAAGACCUAUGACUUUCUUCGCAAGCGUUUCUUUUGGGAGAACAUGCGACAGGAUGUGCAGACACACGUGGCCAAGUGUCAGAAGUGUGCACCUGGCAAGCUGAGGCUUGUACGGCAACCACGACUUCGCCCCCUUCCGGUGGUACCGCUGUGGGGAAGAGUACAUGUUGACCUGAUGGGACCUUACAAGGAGACACCCCGCGGCAACAGCUAUCUGAUCGUGGCUGUAGACUCAUGGUCUAAAUGGCCCGAGGCAGGACCCCUGCCGGAUAAGAAAGCUAGCACCACUGCAUCAUGGUUCUGGCGACAGUGGGUGACCCGCUAUGGAUCGCCAGAAAUGGUGAUGACGGAUCAAGGUCGAGAAUGGGAUGGCGAGUUUGCCCACCUGCUACGAGAGCAGAAAAUCGCACAUCGACACACCGCUGCCUACUCACCUCAGAGCAACGGGCAGGCAGAGCGUCUUGUCAGGGUACUGUUGACAAGCCUACGCAAAUGCAUCAACGACAAGGAAGACAACUGGGACAUUGAGGUCUAUCAAAUUCUCUAUGGUUAUAGAGCUACCCGACAAGAUAGCACGCGGUUGAGCCCGGCGCUAUGUGUGUUCGGCAAAGAACUUACAACGGCGGCUGAACGCAGCACCGCCCCGAAUCCCACACUACCGUCAGAGGAGCCGGCGGAGGUAUGUGCAGAAGACUAUGAGGCUCUGCAGCACCGACGUUCACAACUAGAGCUGGUGGCUGAUCAGGUUGUGGAAAACCUGACAAAAGCCAAAAGUCGACAGCAGCGGGACUAUGCUAAACGACACGGUAACCUUAUGUUGCAGCCCAACAAUGAGGCGGACCCACGGGUCACCCCUAUUGCUCAAACGGAUCGCGCAACUGGCGGACCAGUUUCGCUGGAACCCCAGCCAGCGGCCGCGCAGAAACGUAAGACUCCCAUCAAGGUGGAUGAUGCAAGUUCGCUGGAACACGCAC